ensembl:lncRNA
CCAUUAAUGUUAUAAUAAAAUGAGUAAUGAGUAAUGUUAUAAUUUUUAAGGUCCUUUCCCCCUUGUGUUGCAUUGCUACUGUAUUCCUCACAGCACAUGCGGCGGAGUAUGAUGAGCACAGAUUAGAUGGUAAGUUAUGCCAAACAGAUAUUUGUGCAAGCAAUAUUUCAAGUUUCCCCCAAUUACAUUAAACAACCUUGAUUUAUGUUACUAGUGAAUUUACUUACAUUGUUUCAAAAAUAGGAAAUAAUAACAUUUUACUUGUCUGUGAAUAAUGCAUAUAAAUAUUCUUGUUUCUCCAAAAGUGUCGACUGCAGACAUGAGAAUGGAGAGUGCCCAAGUAGUAUUGGCAGUGUUCAUCCUCUUCCUCAUCCUCAUCAUUGGGAUCUACCUCCACUUCUCAAAGGUUCAGAGGAAGACUCUGCAGCUCUCCCUGUCCUCAAACUUACCAUAUGAAAACAUCCCUGAAGAAUCUACGUUUGACCACUCGGUUUAUGAGACAACAGUGAGUCAACAUGCAGUAAAUGUCACACUUCAGAAUGGUUGGCUAUUUUUUGAUCAUGUUCAAAUUAAUUCAUAAAUGAGUUGGCACAUGUUUUAGGGCUUUUGAGGUUUCAGGGCCAUGAACAUUGAAUGAUAAAUGGACUCUUCUUAGAGUAAAACUCUUAUCUGGUGUUCCAACUCAUCAAAGCGCUUUUACACAUGUCAUCAUUCACACACUAAUGACAGGAGCUACCAUACACAGUGCCACAUGCCCAUCAGUAGCUAACAUUUCCAUUAUUCACACACCGUAGUUUCAGCCACAAAAUAAAAACGCCACGCCUCUGAUUGAACUUAACUAUUAGAAUAAUAGCACAUUUAUCUAUCUAGAAUUAAGAACUGAACUUCUUUCCCCCUACCAACCUCAUCGGUCCCUCAGAUCCACCUCGGCCAGACUACUUUUCACCCCCACAUCCAAACUCCGCGGCUUUGGGGACAGAGCAUUCUCCAGGGCAGCUCCCAAGCUCUGGAACUCACUCCCCAUUCUCAUCAGAGACUCCGACUCCAUCACCACAUUCCACUCCCGCCUUAAAACACAUCUUUCUCAUCUGUUUACCCGUAGCCCCCUCCCUUCCCCUACCCUUCAGUCUAUGUAGUUGUAUGCGAUCGGCCCGUAUAUGUCGCCUCUCGUGUCUUGUCUCCUGCCUGUCUGCCUCACACCGCCCCCCCUUCGACUAUGUUAAAGCGUCUUUGAGACAUUUAGAAAAGCGCUAUAUAAAACCAAUUAUUAACUAUUUGUUAAAUGUUGUUAAAUAUGUCUACCAUAUACACCUAGCAUUCUACCAUAUAUCAGUGAAUGCUCUUUGACUAUAUUUAGGGUCCACGCUACGACUAUUCGGAGAGGAAUCUAUUGUAUUUCAUGGAAUUAUUAUUAUUCUUUCACGCAACGAUUGCCCCUUUUGGGGACUUUAUCAUAUUCAAAAACUUGUUAAAUUUGGCAUGCAUAUCAUAACUAGUGAAACAUGUGAUCAGGUCAAGUGAUCUUUUUACUAUUGAUAGUUUCCUUUUCAAUCUAAUCCAAAAUUGACCAGAUGGAGAAUUUAAAGGAACUUGGCUCAUUUAUGGUAUUUUAAGAGGCUUUAAUUUUGUCCUUUUGAAUGUCCUGGUUAUUGCUGAGUAAUACCUUGGGAAUGUGUACUUUAUUAUUGUGCUGUGCUUAUUAUUGUUUGUUAUUUUAGAGUUCAGCCUCGGUCAAUGUAACUACAGUAUGAGUGAUUAAAUCUAAUAUUUCUUGGUGUUGAGUUGUUAUUCUUAAUUGCUGGGAAUUCUGAAUAACAAUGAGGUGAGUUAAUCAUGUUAAUACUGGUGAGCUUCAAAUUGAAACCGGACAAAUGCGCAAAAAAAUCCAUAACAAAGUUUAGGUAAAACAGCGAACAACGAGAAGGCAGUAAAAACAGGUUAACAAAUCAGACAGGGUUAGGGCAAAAAAAAAAGCAGGACAAGAAAAGAUAACAAAAAAAAAAAACAGAAAAAGAGGGAACCUGAACACUAAAAAUUGCUGGGACCUCAUGUACUAACGCUUUUGCACCCACUUCAAGGCGUAUAUGUUUCGCAAUGUGCACGUAAAAGCAUGGCGAGGUAUGUACAAACAAGCCGCACAGUGGUAAAAGUGCAGAGUGCCUGUUGCAAAAAGUGAAAAUUGCAAAUUGCGCUUGUGAGGGGUCAGGACUUCGACUCAGGUGCAGAGCAAUAAGGCAACAGAAAAUUCUUUCAAGGUUUGGAAUCUUUUACUAGGAGAGUAAACUAAUGCAAAACAAAGGGGGCAAAGGCGGAAUCCACACGCUCUUGUAGAAACAAAAAGGAAGAGAGCCUGGCAACAAAGUAGAAACAAGAUUACAAAAACAGCACUGGGAAUUUAACAACAAACAUGUACCUCUAGGAACGACAAAAGAUAACCGGACACAGACAAGUGGGGAACUGAGGCUUAAAUACAGGUGGGGGUGAUUACAAACUAAACUCAGCUGUGGGGGGAAACUAGAUACAGGAAGUGCCGUGGUUACAAAAAUAAAACAGGAAGUUAAUCUUCACAGUCUCUUCGAGUCGUCACAGCGCUUUUCCGUGUAAUGCACAUGCAUUCACGGGAGUGUCAAGGUGAAAGCGAGAGUUGGAGGAGUUGGGAGUGGAUGUGUAAAGUGCGCCUAAUUAUGAAUUCAGUACUUAUGAAUAUAUACAGAAACCGCCUGUGAAAGCGCGCCUCCGUUGCGGUGAAAAUUCUCUGCCUCUUAAAAAACACACGCCUUUUCACCUCCUGGUGAAAUGACAGCAGUAAUCCAAGCCAGACAUGGCUAGAUAUGGCAACAUAUGCCAAGGAGGCGAGCUGAAAGGAUUUUUGCCACAACACGUGAGUGUUUAGUUGAUUGAACACAAAAUCAUUACGCGUUACUGAUCAAGCAGCCAUGCAAUAUUACAGUUACUGGAAGAAAUCAAACAUUGCAUCGCCUGAGUUGGCGAUGCAACUCUGCUGGUGUCAGAAAAAUUCUCACUCAACACCGGCGUAAAAUCAUCAAAACAGGUUAUUUAAUGUUCGCAAACAGGAGACAAGAGUUGACACACAUACAAGUCAUGCGCCAAGUCCGCUCAAAGGGUUUCAUCUUUGGAGCAGGAAUAUAUACUGCACGUAUGGCAUCAAAACACGGGGAUGGUUACGCACAUACAGAGGAUUGUUUACCCUCACGGGACAGAACGUCCGUCCCGAGGCCAAUCUCGGCAGACAAGAUGUCUGCCAGCUGAGGGUAGCAAAAACCUUGUGUAGUCUAGCUUCAUUGACAUCAUGACACACAUUAUUUUCUGUUUUUCCAACAUUUCCCUCCUGUUUAUACAAAGUAUAACUAAUUGAAAGGAAAAAAAAGGAAAAACUAUGGUAGUUAACCUUAUCAAAUGAUUAAACACAAAGAAAAGAGAGAUUUGUAUAACAGAUCAAUCAAAAGUUCAUAAAGGAUUGAACUGUAGAUGUUUGUUAUUAAUCAAUGGGUUAACAUAGUUAUUUCAUUAUUAUUAUUAUUUUUAAGUAAAAACAUUUUUUUUAUUAUUAUUUGUAUUAGCACGACACCCAUUGGCAUGGCAGCCCUUCCCCCCUUUGAGCGACAUGUCGCUCAUGUGAGAAAAAGGCAAAUCAAUCAUACAAAUAAAACCCCAAAAAGAAGGGAAAAGGAGAGGAGGAAGAAGGAAAAAAAAAUCCGUUGUCUUCAGGCCCAGGUACAUGGCCCCCCACCAGCCUGAGGCAACUCAAUGCAGCAUCUAUCCACUUCUGCAGCAACCCUCUCACACAGGGAAUAAGAAAACAUCCGCAAACUUCGAAGAGAGCGAUCGCCAGAAAGAUGGAAGUAAACAUUGAGAUUGCCAAAUCUUUCCACUUGCCAAACCAAUUUUCCAACGGGUUCUGGAUUCCAGCAUUUUCUGCUAAUUCCUCAGAGAGUGAAGUUAGCCCCAUUAGCCCCCUGGUUACUGACCGUCUGGGACAGUGUUGUUGGGGAUGAAAGUACAGCACGUUGAUCCAAACAUUUUACAGACUCUCCCCUUUUCUGCCACUAACAUGUCUAGUGCCAUUCGAUUUUGCCAAGCCAUUAGACUAGUUUUGUGUAGUUGCCCGUGCAACCCAUCUAUCGCUCUGGUGUGGUUGAUGAAUCGUAAUAAUAGAUGUAGUUUAUCCAGUCGACUUUUUUUAUCGUUACCCACCAAAAGAACAUUGACUCAAACCCUGCAGAUAUUGGAUGUCUGGCCUUGUAUUCGUCUGGUACCCCCCAGAGGGACACCAAUGGUAUUAAUAUAGAUGGAUGGGUUAAAGCUACCGACCGGUGAGGUUAGUGACCUCUUUGACCUGUGGUGGUCUGUCUUCUGGACAGUGCUCAGG